GACGAACCGUGCGAACGUUAUUCGGAUUCACUGGGCUUAAAGGGUGCGUAGGCGGGUUUCCAAGUCGGGGGUGAAAUCUUUCGGCCCAACCGGAAAAGGGCCUCCGAUACUGGGAACCUCGAGGGGGAUAGGGGCGCGUGGAACUCAGGGUGGAGCGGUGAAAUGCGUAGAUAUCCUGAGGAACGCCGGUGGCGAAAGCGGCGCGCUGGAUCCCUUCUGACGCUGAGGCACGAAAGCCAGGGGAGCAAACGGG
rnacentral:rRNA from 1 species